UGCUACAAUGGGGUAUACAAAGAGCAGCAAUACGGUGACGUGGAGCAAAUCUCAAAAAUGCCUCCCAGUUCGGAUUGUAGUCUGCAACUCGACUACAUGAAGUUGGAAUCGCUAGUAAUCGUAGAUCAGCUAUGCUACGGUGAAUACGUUCCCGGGUCUUGUACUCACCGCCCGUCACACCAUGGGAGUUGAACUCAUUCGAAGCGGGGAUGCUAAAGUAGCUACCUUCCACAGUGGAUUCAGCGACUGGGGUGAAGUCGUAACAAGGUAACCGUAGGAGAACCUGCGGUUGGAUCACCUCCUUU
rnacentral:rRNA from 1 species